UGGGGAAUAUUGCACAAUGGGCGCAAGCCUGAUGUAGCCAUGCCGCGUGUAUGAAGAAGGCCUUCGGGUUGUAAAGUACUUUCAGCGGGGAGGAAGGUGUUGAGGUUAAUAACCUCAGCAAUUGACGUUACCCGCAGAAGAAGCACCGGCUAACUCCGUGCCAGCAGCCGCGGUAAUACGGAGGGUGCAAGCGUUAAUCGGAAUUACUGGGCGUAAAGCGCACGCAGGCGGUCUGUCAAGUCGGAUGUGAAAUCCCCGGGCUCAACCUGGGAACUGCAUUCGAAACUGGCAGGCUAGAGUCUUGUAGAGGGGGGUAGAAUUCCAGGUGUAGCGGUGAAAUGCGUAGAGAUCUGGAGGAAUACCGGUGGCGAAGGCGGCCCCCUGGACAAAGACUGACGCUCAGGUGCGAAAGCGUGGGGAGCAAACA
rnacentral:rRNA from 1 species